rnacentral:rRNA from 1 species
AGUGAACGCUGGCGGUAGGCCUAACACAUGCAAGUCGAACGGCAGCACAGUAAGAGCUUGCUCUUACGGGUGGCGAGUGGCGGACGGGUGAGGAAUACAUCGGAAUCUACUUUUUCGUGGGGGAUAACGUAGGGAAACUUACGCUAAUACCGCAUACGACCUACGGGUGAAAGCAGGGGAUCUUCGGACCUUGCGCGAUUGAAUGAGCCGAUGUCGGAUUAGCUAGUUGGCGGGGUAAAGGCCCACCAAGGCGACGAUCCGUAGCUGGUCUGAGAGGAUGAUCAGCCACACUGGAACUGAGACACGGUCCAGACUCCUACGGGAGGCAGCAGUGGGGAAUAUUGGACAAUGGGCGCAAGCCUGAUCCAGCCGUACCGCGUGGGUGAAGAGGGCCUUCGGGUUGUAAAGCCCUUUUGUUGGGAAAGAAAAGCAGCAGGUUAAUACCCCGCUGCUCUGACGGUACCCAAAGAAUAAGCACCGGCUAACUUCGUG